rnacentral:rRNA from 1 species
UUAAGUUAUUAAGGGCGCACGGUGGAUGCCUUGGCACUAGAAGCCGAUGAAGGACGUUACUAACGACGAUAUGCUUUGGGGAGCUGUAAGUAAGCUUUGAUCCAGAGAUUUCCGAAUGGGGAAACCCAGCAUGAGUUAUGUCAUGUUAUCGAUAUGUGAAUACAUAGCAUAUCAGAAGGCACACCCGGAGAACUGAAACAUCUUAGUACCCGGAGGAAGAGAAAGAAAAUUCGAUUCCCUUAGUAGCGGCGAGCGAAACGGGAAGAGCCCAAACCAACAAGCUUGCUUGUUGGGGUUGUAGGACACUCUAUACGGAGUUACAAAGGACGACAUUAGACGAAUCAUCUGGAAAGAUGAAUCAAAGAAGGUAAUAAUCCUGUAGUCGAAAAUGUUGUCUCUCUUGAGUGGAUCCUGAGUACGACGGAGCACGUGAAAUUCCGUCGGAAUCUGGGAGGACCAUCUCCUAAGGCUAAAUACUCUCUAGUGACCGAUAGUGAACCAGUACCGUGAGGGAAAGGUGAAAAGCACCCCGGAAGGGGAGUGAAAUAGAACCUGAAACCGUGUGCUUACAAGUAGUCAGAGCCCGUUAAUGGGUGAUGGCGUGCCUUUUGUAGAAUGAACCGGCGAGUUACGAUUUGAUGCAAGGUUAAGCAGUAAAUGUGGAGCCGUAGCGAAAGCGAGUCUGAAUAGGGCGUUUAGUAUUUGGUCGUAGACCCGAAACCAGGUGAUCUACCCUUGGUCAGGUUGAAGUUCAGGUAACACUGAAUGGAGGACCGAACCGACUUACGUUGAAAAGUGAGCGGAUGAACUGAGGGUAGCGGAGAAAUUCCAAUCGAACCUGGAGAUAGCUGGUUCUCUCCGAAAUAGCUUUAGGGCUAGCCUCAAGUGAUGAUUAUUGGAGGUAGAGCACUGUUUGGACGAGGGGCCCCUCUCGGGUUACCGAAUUCAGACAAACUCCGAAUGCCAAUUAAUUUAACUUGGGAGUCAGAACAUGGGUGAUAAGGUCCGUGUUCGAAAGGGAAACAGCCCAGACCACCAGCUAAGGUCCCAAAAUAUAUGUUAAGUGGAAAAGGAUGUGGCGUUGCCCAGACAACUAGGAUGUUGGCUUAGAAGCAGCCAUCAUUUAAAGAGUGCGUAAUAGCUCACUAGUCGAGUGACACUGCGCCGAAAAUGUACCGGGGCUAAACAUAUUACCGAAGCUGUGGAUUGUCCUUUGGACAAUGGUAGGAGAGCGUUCUAAGGGCGUUGAAGCAUGAUCGUAAGGACAUGUGGAGCGCUUAGAAGUGAGAAUGCCGGUGUGAGUAGCGAAAGACGGGUGAGAAUCCCGUCCACCGAUUGACUAAGGUUUCCAGAGGAAGGCUCGUCCGCUCUGGGUUAGUCGGGUCCUAAGCUGAGGCCGACAGGCGUAGGCGAUGGAUAACAGGUUGAUAUUCCUGUACCACCUAUAAUCGUUUUAAUCGAUGGGGGGACGCAGUAGGAUAGGCGAAGCGUGCGAUUGGAUUGCACGUCUAAGCAGUAAGGCUGAGUAUUAGGCAAAUCCGGUACUCGUUAAGGCUGAGCUGUGAUGGGGAGAAGACAUUGUGUCUUCGAGUCGUUGAUUUCACACUGCCGAGAAAAGCCUCUAGAUAGAAAAUAGGUGCCCGUACCGCAAACCGACACAGGUAGUCAAGAUGAGAAUUCUAAGGUGAGCGAGCGAACUCUCGUUAAGGAACUCGGCAAAAUGACCCCGUAACUUCGGGAGAAGGGGUGCUCUUUAGGGUUAACGCCCAGAAGAGCCGCAGUGAAUAGGCCCAAGCGACUGUUUAUCAAAAACACAGGUCUCUGCUAAACCGUAAGGUGAUGUAUAGGGGCUGACGCCUGCCCGGUGCUGGAAGGUUAAGAGGAGUGGUUAGCUUCUGCGAAGCUACGAAUCGAAGCCCCAGUAAACGGCGGCCGUAACUAUAACGGUCCUAAGGUAGCGAAAUUCCUUGUCGGGUAAGUUCCGACCCGCACGAAAGGCGUAACGAUUUGGGCACUGUCUCAACGAGAGACUCGGUGAAAUCAUAGUACCUGUGAAGAUGCAGGUUACCCGCGACAGGACGGAAAGACCCCGUGGAGCUUUACUGUAGCCUGAUAUUGAAAUUCGGCACAGCUUGUACAGGAUAGGUAGGAGCCUUUGAAACGUGAGCGCUAGCUUACGUGGAGGCGCUGGUGGGAUACUACCCUAGCUGUGUUGGCUUUCUAACCCGCACCACUUAUCGUGGUGGGAGACAGUGUCAGGCGGGCAGUUUGACUGGGGCGGUCGCCUCCUAAAAGGUAACGGAGGCGCUCAAAGGUUCCCUCAGAAUGGUUGGAAAUCAUUCAUAGAGUGUAAAGGCAUAAGGGAGCUUGACUGCGAGACCUACAAGUCGAGCAGGGUCGAAAGACGGACUUAGUGAUCCGGUGGUUCCGCAUGGAAGGGCCAUCGCUCAACGGAUAAAAGCUACCCCGGGGAUAACAGGCUUAUCUCCCUCAAGAGUUCACAUCGACGGGGAGGUUUGGCACCUCGAUGUCGGCUCAUCGCAUCCUGGGGCUGUAGUCGGUCCCAAGGGUUGGGCUGUUCGCCCAUUAAAGCGGUACGCGAGCUGGGUUCAGAACGUCGUGAGACAGUUCGGUCCCUAUCCGUCGUGGGCGUAGGAAAUUUGAGAGGAGCUGUCCUUAGUACGAGAGGACCGGGAUGGACAUACCUCUGGUGUACCAGUUGUCGUGCCAACGGCAUAGCUGGGUAGCUAUGUGUGGACGGGAUAAGUGCUGAAAGCAUCUAAGCAUGAAGCCCCCCUCAAGAUGAGAUUUCCCAACUUCGGUUAUAAGAUCCCUCAAAGAUGAUGAGGUUAAUAGGUUCGAGGUGGAAGCAUGGUGACAUGUGGAGCUGACGAAUACUAAUCGAUCGAAGACUUAAUCAA